ensembl:lncRNA
GUACGACGACGAGGACAGCUCCAUUUCUGACUGCCUCCUGUCUUCUCGAGCCAGUUCCUGUAACCUUCACAAGGACUCUCUGCGCUGAGCCUCAGUCCCCCAUCUUACGAAUGAAGAAACCAAAGUGAGUUGAAAUAACCUCUAACCCGAGGUCAGAAAGCUAGACAGUGACAGAGAACAGAGCCAGGUUUCCAGUGCUCGGCCCUCAAACAAAUACUUCUGGAUUCCUCUAAUUGAUUUUUUUCACGUAGUCCAAGAAUGCAUCACGGCAAAAACUAGGCAGCUGGCUAUAUUUUUCAGAUGUGAUAUUUUACUCAUCGGGAAAGAGCAGUCCAUUGGUCAACUAUUAUUUGGGGUCGUCAUAGUCGAAUACGUUGAACUAACAAAGGGGAAACCUUUCUGUUUCCUGCUUUUCCAAAUUCACUGCAGAGAGGAUUCCAGAACCUGUCACCCAGCAACUCAAAGACCAAGUUGCAUUUGGGUGACAGAAAACAAAAGCCCGUCCCUUUCCAGGUGGUUCUGGGUUUGGAGAUUUGAGACCCCCGAGGUGGUGUGAGGCAGAGAGGGAUGAUAAAUGAUCCUGGGGUCUGGGCUUUCUCUCCUCCUGCAGCCCGGCCCUCAGGAGCAUGAGCCAAUGUUCCAGAGAGACGGAAAGGAGAUGGAGUUUGAGAGAGGCUGCCACCUGUCCCUGGGUAGUACGCAAGCUCCGUGCCAUUUAUGUCACCUAUCCCACAUCCACAAAUAUGUAAAAACCUCGGGAAAAUCGGCUCUCCAUUUUUCUCUGGGAAACUUGAUGUGAGCUUUGGAAGUCAAAAAAAAAAAAAAAAAAAGGCAGGGAUCCUCCUUCAUAUGCACAUUUUUAGCUCUUCUCUCUUUUGCAGAAUGGCUAACGCCAACUCAAACUAUUUCUGCAAAGAGUCGCUGGGGACAAAGUGGAGAUGUGGGUAGGCUCCUCGAGCUGGCUCUCAGAAGCAGCCGCCCCCACCCUGCAUGAUCGGAGCAGGAGCUCCUUGGAGCACUGGGAUGUGUGGACUGCGGCUGCGCAGACACUCAGUGCCACUGACCCUGUAGGCAGAGAACCGAGCUCUAGGGGGCCCUUCCUGCUUCCUUCCCUGCCCUGCAUGUUCCCCAAGAGCCAGUGGUGUGUGAAGCCCAGUCUGCAAAGCUGGGGAGACACCAGUGGACUACAAGUCUUGGCCCUCAAGAUGCAGCAGAGAGGAAGAGGAUUGGAAAGUAGAGAGAGAAUGAUAAAACCGUUGCUCUGUCUGUUAAUGCAAAUAAUUUAGCGGGUCGGGAAUGCGAAUUUGAGAGGGAACUUGAGGAAAGUGGCCAAAGCUGGAGGGGCACGUCAGGGAAAGAUCCUUCUGAGCCUUACAGCAUAUUUUCAGGUGUUGAAUGUUUCUGAGGGCAGUAAGGAGUCCUGGAGGUCUCCCAGCAGGGAGGCCCCCAACCUGCUCCUUGCUUCUCCUUACCCCAAUGUCUAUCCCACUCAGCGGACGUGUGCUUUCCUCAGCCUACGUCCUAGCUCCAUCCAAACAGGACGCUGCUCCUUGGCCCUCCCUCAGGCCUGGGGUGUGUAUACUGCUCACAGCUCAGCCUCCAAGAGUCCUGUG